rnacentral:rRNA from 1 species
CCUACGGGAGGCAGCAGUGGGGAAUAUUGCACAAUGGGCGAAAGCCUGACGCAGCGACGCCGCGUGCGGGAUGAAGGUCUUCGGAUCGUAAACCUCUGUCAGCAGGGAAGAACGGUCACUGUGCUAAUCAGCAGUGAAUUGACGGUACCUGCUAAGGAAGCACCGGCUAACUCCGUGCCAGCAGCCGCGGUAAUACGGAGGGUGCGAGCGUUAAUCGGAAUUACUGGGCGUAAAGCGCUCGUAGGCGGUAUGUCAAGUCAAGGGUGAAAUCCCCGGGCCUAACGGGGGAACUGCCUUUGAAACUAGCAAACUGGAGGUAGAUAGAGGAUAGCGGAAGUCCAGGUGUAGGGGUGAAAUCCGUAGAUAUCUGGAAGAACAUCAGAGGCGAAGGCGACUAACUGGGACAUAACUGACGCUGAGGGGCGAAAGCGUGGGGAGCAAACAGGAUUAGAUACCCGAGUAGUC